rnacentral:rRNA from 1 species
AUUGAACGCUGGCGGCAUGCUUUACACAUGCAAGUCGAACGGCAGCACGGACUUCGGUCUGGUGGCGAGUGGCGAACGGGUGAGUAAUACAUCGGAACGUACCCAGUAAUGGGGGAUAACUAUCCGAAAGGAUAGCUAAUACCGCAUACGCCCUACGGGGGAAAGAGGGGGAUCGCAAGACCUCUUGUUAUUGGAGCGGCCGAUGGCUGAUUAGCUAGUGGGUGGGGUAAAGGCCUACCAAGGCAACGAUCAGUAGCGGGUCUGUGAGGACGCUCCGCCACACUGGAACUGAGACACGGUCCAGACUCCUACGGGAGGCAGCAGUGGGGAAUCUUGGACAAUGGGCGCAAGCCUGAUCCAGCAAUGCCGCGUGCGUGAAGAAGGCCUUCGGGUUGUAAAGCGCUUUUGUCAGGGAGCAAAUCCUUGUGGCUAAUACCCACCGGGGAUGAGAGUACCUAAAGAAUAAGGACCGGCUAACUACGUGCCAGCCGCCGCCGUAA